ACCCAAGUAGUUUAAUAAAAUAUUGAUUUGUGGUGUCAAAGAUAUGAGGUAAUCAUUUUGGGUC
rnacentral:tRNA from 1 species